rnacentral:lncRNA from 1 species
ACUUUUGUGAACCCUCACUGUUAAUGCUAAAGGGUUACAGCUAAGGAAAGGAUAAAUGGGAGAGAAGAACAGGACAUCCUCACCACCAUCGUCUUAGCAUCAAAGACCCUCUUUUUUCUUCUUCCAAAUUCUGUUCUUGUAAUUUUGUUACAAUCCAACCAUGGCUUCCUCUAGCAAUUCUAAGAGACCCUUUUGUUCUUCUUCUUCUUCUAAUUCUAAAUGGAGGUACGAUGUGUUCUUGAGUUUCAGAGGCGAGGAUACCCGCAACAACUUUACUAGUCAUCUCUACAAGGAUUUGGAUAAGGCCAACAUUAAAACCUUUAAAGAUGAUGAAGAACUUCGAAAGGGAGGAGAGAUUGCACCCGAGCUCCUAAAAGCUAUUGAAGAAUCAAGGAUCGCCAUUAUCGUCUUCUCGAAAACCUAUGCUCAUUCCAAGUGGUGCUUGGAUGAACUCGUCAAGAUCAUGGAGUGCCAGAAAGAAAAGGGACAAAUAGUUUAUCCCGUUUUCUAUCACGUACGGCCGUGUGAAGUCAGGAACCAGUAUGGGACUUAUGGAGAAGAAUUUAAGAAACACGAGAGCAAUGCGGACGAGGAGAAGAAGAAGAAAAUAGGGGAGUGGAGGACUGCCUUAAGGAAAGCCGGUGAUUUGAGUGGAUUUAGUCUGCGGGAUAGGUAAUCCCUACUUCACUUUUUCCAUUUCCAAUUUUCUGUCAGUUUAUUUUCAUUCUUGUUAGUAAAUAAAAUAUUUAUGAUUACAUAUAUCAAUCAAAAUCCAGUUUUUAAGUAGUAGACAUUAAUAUGUUUGAUUUCUUGGAAAGUAAUAAGAAGAGUUAAAAAUAAAUAAAAAUAAAAAUUUAAAAAAUUUGAUUUUCUUAUAUUUAAUGUAUUAUUAAAAAAUAUGAAAGAAAAUAAAAAUAUAAUUAAAAUACAUUGUAAAAAUAUAUAUAAUUAGUUUAUAAUUAAAAUAAUCUUAGAAAAUCUAUAGUAGUUGUUCUGGGCUCAUUCAGGCCCAACAGGUAAUCCCUAUUUCACUUUUUCCAUUACCAAUUUUCUGUCGGUUUAUUUUCAUUCUUGUUAAUAAAUAAAAUAUUUAUGAUUACAUUUAUCAAUCAAAAUCCAUUUUUAAGUAGUAGACAUUAAUAUGUUUGAUUUCUUGGAAAGUAAUAAGAAAGAGUAAAAAAAAAAAUUGACUUUCUCACAUUUAAUUUAUUAUUAAAAUUAUAAAAGGAAAUCAAAUAUAAUUAAAAUAUAUCGAAAAAAAAAAUAUUUGCCUACAAUUGGGAUAAUAUUAGAAAAUCUAUAGUAGGUGUUGUGGGCUCAUUCAGGCCCAGGUAAUACUGGUAAAAAAAUAAAAUAAAAUAAUUAUGCCAAAUGCCAAGUUUUGAAUUGUUAAAAAUCUUUAAGAUUCCAAAAUAUUCUUCCUUUCUAAUCAAUCCAUCUCAGCCAUAAUUUCUAUCAAUUAAAUUGUUCAAAUUGGUUAUUUAUAUGCUUUGUAAAUUUGGAGAUAAUCUGAGAUGAUUAUUUAAAAUAUUGUAAUACUACCCUAAAUUUUUUUGGACCCUCUUAUGGGACAAAAAACUUAGUUAUUGCACCCUUAACCUUUUUCAAUUUUAGAGGAAUUUUCUAUUACUAAAAUAAUUUUCUCAUGUUCUCUGUGCACUACAUGAGUUUACAUUUCUUCUUUACUUAAUAUUGUUUGUUCCUCUAUAUUUGCAAGUUGAUUAUUAAAUUUAUUUACCUUUUAAUCUAAUGUUUGUAUCUCGUUUUAUUCUAAUUAUCCCAUGACAUCUGGAUAAUCUCUUCUUAAGACCUUGACAUGACAUAAUGAAAUUUUAUUUAAACAUGCAAUUCAACACAUUUUUAAUUUACAUUCUAUUUGACCUUAAUUUAAUUGCACCGAACUAAAGAUCAUUCUAUAAUUUCCAUUUACUUCAUCUUUGUUUUCUUUGACAAUUGAUUGUAGCUUACUCCAUGUUUUAUUGUACUUUAUAAUGGACAGAUCUGAGGCAGAGUUUAUUGAAGAAAUCAUUGGUGAGAUUCGAAGAUUAAUUCCUAAGUGGGUACAUGUUGGUGAGAAUAUUGUUGGAAUGGAUGAAAAUUUGAAAAAAGUGAAGUUAUUGAUAGAUGCCCAAUCAAAUAAAGUGAGUAUGGUUGGGAUUUAUGGGACUGGUGGGAUUGGUAAAACUACCAUCGCCAAGGUUGUUUACAAUGAUAUGUUAGAUCAAUUUAAAUGUCACAGCUUUCUUGAAAAUGUGAGAGAGAAAUAUGAAGAUAAAGGUGAUUUGCUUCAAUUACAAAAAGAACUUCUUUGUGAUAUCCUAAUGGAGAAAAAUCUGGUGUUAAGGAAUAUUGAUGAAGGAUUUAAAAAGAUAAAGAGUAAGCGUCACUCUGAAAAGGUUCUUAUUGUUCUUGAUGAUGUAGGUUGUGAAGAACAAUUAAAAUUCUUAGCUCCUAAUUCUGAAUGUUUUCAUCCAGGAAGCAUAAUCAUUGUGACCACGAGAAAUAAGCGUUGCCUAGAUGUAUAUGACUCGUAUUCAUCAUAUGAGGCUAAGAGAAUGGCAGACAAGCAAGCUGAGGAACUCUUUUGUUGGAAUGCCUUCAAGCAAGACCAUCCCAUAGAAAAUUUUGUGGGCCUCUCUAAUCGUAUACUGGAUUAUGCUGACGGCCUUCCAUUGGCUCUUGUAGUUUUGGGUUCUUUUCUCUUUCAAAGGCCUAUGGAUGAAUGGGAAAGCACAUUGGAUGAACUCAAAACAAUCCCUCCCGAGAAUAUUCAAAAGGUACUCCAGAUAAGUUAUGAUGGACUAAGUGAUGAACGCAAGAAGUUGUUUCUUUAUAUUGCAUGCUUCUUCAAAGAUGAGGAUGAAAAAAUGGCAACAAGAAUACUAGAAAGUUGCAAAUUACAUCCCGCUAUUGGACUAAGAGUUCUUCAUGAGAGGUGUCUUAUUUCUAUAGAGGACAACACUAUAAGGAUGCAUGACUUGUUACAAGAAAUGGGUUGGGCAAUUGUUUGCAAUGAUCCAGAACGUCCAGGAAAAUGGAGCAGAUUGUGCGAAUUACAGGAUAUUGAAAGUGUAUUAUCACAAAAUGAGGUAAGAGAAAAAUACAUGAACAUACUUGAGAUCUAAAGACAUAAAAGAUUCAACAAGAUUUAUUUUUAUUAUUAUUAUAGUUUGAGUAUAUUAUCUAUAUAAUUUUAGUGAAUCCCUAUGCAUCUUAUACUGCUCAUUCUCAAUCCUUGUUUUCAGUGGACAAAAAACAUUGAGGGGAUUUUCACAAGUCAGUCUCGCCAUACAGGAAAACAUAUACAACUUACUACUGAAGUUUUCAGAAAUAUGAAUCAACUUAGAUUGCUCAAAGUCGAAUUCAAUCAGAUCGUGCAGCUUUCCCAAGACUUUGAAUUGCCUUGUCAUGAUUUAGUAUAUUUUCAUUGGGAUUACUACCCUUUAGAAUAUUUGCCAUCAAAUUUUCAUACAGACAAUCUUGUUGAACUCAACCUCUGGUGUAGCCGCAUAAAACAUCUUUGGGAAGGAAAUAUGGUAUUGCUAUUAUUUAGUUAUAUUUUUGUUGUAGACUAAUUUUAAAGUCUUUUGAAGUUUACUUCUUGACACAAAUUUUCUUCUGUUACAGCCUGCUAAAAAGUUAAAAGUCAUUGAUCUUAGUUAUUCCAUGCAUCUGGUUGACAUUUCAAGCAUCUCAAGUAUGCCAAAUUUGGAGACUCUAACUCUAAAAGGUUGUACAAGGUUCCUUAAGUGUUUCAUCCAUGCUAAAUGUUAUUAUCAGUCAUGAACUAAUUGUUUUCUUGAAUAUAAUAGGGUGCACGAGACUUAAGAGUCUUCCAAGGAACUUUCCUAAGUUGGAAUGCCUUCAAACACUCUCUUGUUGUGGCUGUUCAAACUUAGAGAGUUUUCCGAAGAUCGAGGAAGAAAUGAGAAGUCUAAGAAAGCUUAAUUUAAGUCAAACAGGUAUAAUGGGAUUACCAUCAUCAAUUAGCAAGCUAAAUGGGCUUAAAGAGUUGGACUUAAGUAGUUGCAAAAAGCUUUCGAGUCUUCCGGACAGUAUUUAUAGUUUGAGCUCUCUUCAAACUCUCAAUCUAUUUGCAUGUUCACGACUAGUGGGCUUUCCGGGUAUCAAUAUUGGAAGUCUAAAAGCUCUUAAAUACUUGGAUUUGUCAUGGUGUGAGAACCUUGAGAGUCUUCCGAAUAGUAUUGGUAGUUUGAGCUCUCUUCAAACUCUUUUAUUGAUAGGGUGUUCAAAACUGAAGGGCUUUCCAGAUAUCAAUUUUGGAAGUCUAAAAGCUCUUGAAUCGUUAGAUUUCUCAGGUUGCAGAAACCUUGAGAGUCUUCCCGUGAGCAUUUACAAUGUAAGCUCUCUCAAAACUUUGGGGAUUACAAAUUGUCCAAAACUCGAGGAAAUGUUAGAGAUGAAACUAGGGGUUGAUCCAUGCCCCUGGCCAUUUUCACCUCUAACCUGUCACAUUUCAAAUUCAGCAAUAAUCUGGGAUGAUCACUGGCAUGACUGCUUUUCCUCAUUAGAAGCAUUAGACUCACAGUGCCCCCUGUCAUCACUGGUAGAAUUAUCUGUAAGAAAGUUUUAUGACAUGGAAGAAGACAUCCCCAUUGGCAGUUCCCACCUAACCUCAUUGGAAAUAUUAUCUCUGGGGAACGUCCCUACAGUAGUAGAAGGAAUCCUCUAUGACAUUUUCCAUCUAUCUUCAUUGGUAAAAUUAUCUCUUACUAAAUGCAAGCCAACAGAAGAAGGAAUCCCCCGUGAUAUUCAGAACCUAUCUCCACUGCAACAAUUAUCUCUACAUGACUGCAAUCUAAUGAAAGGAACGAUCCUCGAUCAUAUUUGCCAUCUAACAUCCUUGGAAGAAUUAUAUCUGGGUUGGAACCAUUUUAGUAGCAUUCCUGCUGGCAUCAGUCGACUUUCCAAUCUAAAAGCCCUUGACUUGAGUCACUGCAAGAAGCUUCAACAAAUUCCAGAGCUUCCAUCUAGUCUACGAUUUUUAGAUGCGCACUGUCCGGAUCGUAUUUCAUCAAGCCCCUUGCUUCUACCUAUUCAUUCUAUGGUCAAUUGCUUCAAAUCAAAAAUUGAGGUAUGAUUCUCAUGCCACGUUCCUUUUUCUUUUGUACCCAUUGGAUUUACAUGGUGCUUUCGUGCAGGGGCGCAAGGUUAUUAAUAGGUAUUCUUCCUUCUAUGGCAAUGGGAUUGGUAUUGUUAUUCCUAGUAGUGGAAUUCUAGAGUGGAUAACGUAUCGGAAUAUGGGAAGGCAAGUAACAAUAGAGCUCCCUCCGAAUUGGUAUAAAAAUGAUGACUUGUGGGGAUUUGCUUUAUGCUGUGUUUAUGUUGCACCUGCCUGUAAAUCUGAGGAUGAAUCUCAGUAUGAAUCAGGUCUUAUAUCUGAGGAUGACAGUGACCUUAAAGAUGAAGAAGCAAGCUUUUAUUGUGAAUUGACAAUCGAAGGAAAUAAUCAAUCAGAAGACGUGGGUCAUUUCUUUCUUCAUUCUCGCUGUAUUAAGGAUGAUGUAUCAGAUAUGCAGUGGGUGAUAUGUUAUCCCAAGUUAGCUAUUGAGAAAAGUUAUCACACCAAUCAAUGGACACACUUCAAGGCUUCAUUUGGUGGUGCCCAAGUGGAAGAGUGCGGAAUCCGUCUUGUAUACAGAAAAGAUUAUGAACAGAAGCAUCCAAGAAUGGCACAAGGCAGUACUUCUCAUGGGAAUUUUGGUGAGCAUGGAUCAGUAAGAGAAGAUACUGAUAGUAAAGCUCACAAUAAAAGGAAUCCCACAGAACAGAGCCCAGGAGAGGAGUCACACCAUAAAAGAUCCAGAGAAACCCAAGACUGAUCUCAAGUAUUAGGCUCAACCACACUUGCAUCACUAAUGCUCUCUUUACUGGUAAUUCAUCUUCCUUUCUCUUUCUAAUUCAAAGGUCAGAAUUUUUUUUUUAUCGUGUUUCUCCUUUUUAUUUGUUUUUUUUUUCCCCAAGACAAACAAAACUUUGAGGCUAUCACCCAUGGGCGCAAACUUCAAUGGUACACCUCCCAAGUUUGUUUUUCUCUCUCUCCAACCGUCUCUCCCUAGAUUUUUCUGCAUUUUCUUCAAACUCAUAUUUCCAUAUGAAAUUCAAUUACAUUCGAGCAUUUCAAUCUCUGUAGCUACUGUCUGAAUCAAUUAUAGGGUUUCUUUUUUCUGGAAGUUUGUAAUGUUAUUGAUUUAAGACUUCAUGUUUGGGGAUGUUUUGGGUGGCUUGUUCACUGGUAUUACUUGUGAUAAUUGCAGCUCUGGUGCUUUCAAUGACUGACAAUAGUUGAAACUAUGUUGAAUGCUUGUACUAAGGGAAUGGACUUCAGCUGCUCCAGGGUUAGUGCUAUAACAUCAGUAUUCACUCUUCAAGAAUGUAUAUAGUUGUUGUUUUGGAAUUUUGAAAUUACUUAGCAUCAGACAAUUUCUAACUCGGGAUUUGGAUUGGGAACCAUAAGUUAUCUCACCCUAGUGUUCUUUGGAAUAAUUAUAGGAUUUUGUAAGUAACUUUGGACUUGUUAGCAAUGUUCUGGAUUUGUGAAUAAUUUAUAGAAUACAUUGGGUGUUUUUUUUUUUUGGUCCAUCAAAAACUUCAAGAACUUUGAGGGUGAAUAAUGUAUGACUGUACUCUUCUCUAUCUCUGUGGUCAUAGCACACGUAUGAUUUGGUGCUUUUUUGCAGGCCUUCAACAGCAGCAAAGCAUCUGGUGGCUUGCAGUACUAAUCUUGCAUUAUAUUCUCUGUUUUGCAAUCAUUUGGUACUUUUUGUCCCAACCAAGGAUAGCUCUGUGCAAGCAGUCUCGACUGUGGAACAAGUAAAACAAAUGGUACCUGCUGAAGCUGAGAGUGCAGAUGAUAAACUGGUGCGGAAGGUGGUCAACCAAAAGAAUCAGACAGCAAAAACUAAAAAGCCCAUGAAGCCUGCUACUGAAGCAGUCUCAGCACCUGUUUCUAGGAGGGGUGAGAUUGAAGUGACUGAAGAAAAGGAGCAUCAGCAAACAAAGAAGGAAGAGGAGUUGGCCAGGAAGGUAGAGGAAUUGAGAAGUGAAGAAGAAGCAGCCAUGUUGAAGGAGCAAAGUCUGUUGGAGGAGAGAAAGCCAACGUUAAGGAGGCACUGGAAAGGCAACAAGGAACUGCAGAAAAGGCCAAUUUCUCUGUGAGUGCUGCCACCUUUUCAUGAUACAGCCAUCAUAAUGGAUGUUAAAAGCAGUCUAACUCUACAUACUUCCUUGCAUUAUACUAGUCAUUGAUGGGCUUAAAUUUUAAUUUAAAUGUAGUAUAAAUAUAUAAGUAGAUUGAUUGGGUCUGAAUUUGAACCUGGUUCGAGUCAUACUCCCAUCCAAUCCAAACUUGUGAUUGGGCUUGAAUUUCUUGGCCCAACCAGCGAAAUCAUUGACCAACGGCCCUUAGUUUGGGCUGGGCUUGAUGGUCCUCAGGUUAUGUAGGCUUAAUACUGAUUGGGUUUGGGCUUCCAUGCAGUUGUACUUGGAUUCUAUGUUUCCUAAUAUUAACACUAAAUUAGGUUUAAUUUAUAAUUAAAUAUAAUUAGUUUGAGACUAACUCCAAUCUUUAGUUAAACCAACUAAGUUUUAUGCAAAGGUUUAUAUUCCUAAUACCAUCAGGUAUUAUAGUAAAUACCAUUGAAAAACUAAAUUCAUGUGGAAGUUUCACUAGGUGAUACGACAUUAAAUUAUUAAGAUAAAAUUAAAAAAAGAUCAUGCUCGUAUGUCCCGUUGUUUGUCAUAAGAGAAUUUCUUUCUAGAUUUUUUUUUUUUUGCUCUUUUCAAUUCUAGAUAUUUUAAUAUAUCUUUACUUUUUCAAAAACAAUCCAUAGGAUUGUUCCCAAACAUAUAUCAUAUAAAUAUAUAUUUUUAAGAUUGAUUUUUAAGAAUGUUAUCAAAUAAACUCAUAAUAGCAUUUUUUUCUUUACAAUUACCAAUUCGUAUGAUGAAUUAAUUACUUUCAAUAACCGACAUCAUCUAAUCAAAAUUAUAAUUAAGUAUCAUAUUAAAAGAGUGUUUAAAAAAUCAAAUUUAAUAACUUAAAGUGAUUUAAUAAUUUAAUUUAAAUUAUUAAAAUAACUUGAUGUCACAAUUUAAAGUUAGAAAUGACUUAAUUUAUUUUUAUUUAAAUUUAAAACUAAGUUUACAAAAAAGGUUUAAAAUUCAUAUCAAUUAAGAAAUUAAGUCAUUAAGUUACUUUAAGCCAUUAAAUUGAUCUACCAAUUAAACACCCUUGAAGAUAUUACAUAAAGUUCACCUUCUACAUAUCAUGAAAAUUUAAAAUUAAUUACAACAUCAAGAAUCUUUAGUUCCUAAUCGAUAUCAUAUUUAAUCCUUGGUUGUAAAUUUCUUUACAUAUGUAGAUAUAUUUUUAUAUUGCAAGUGGGUUGCCGACUUUUCAUUUUAUACUAGUUUUGAAAUUAAGAUUGUAGUUUUUAUUUUGUCCAAAUCUAAUUUGGAGGGAGAAUCUUUAGAGGCUAUUUUAUAUUCAAAUAGGAAAAUUUUAAAUUUAAUAGUCCCACCUUAUAAAGGCAAAUAUCUUGGACCCUACAUGGGUGCCUCUUACAUGCAAAAGGACAAAGACUUAUUGAAAGCCUCUCUCAUUCACAUGGAUGCCAUCAUUCAUCAAAGUUGAAACAUGAAACCCACACAAAAGCAAUUUCAAUAUUUUUUUUCAUAACUAUAGCUGAGAAUCUCAAUAUUAUUAAAUAGUGACAAAAUUAAUUUCAAUAUUUUUUUUUCUUAUUUUUUGCUCCUUGUGGUUAUAUUUUCAUCUGGAAAGUAUUAAAUAUAUUAAAAAAGAAAAAAAUUAUAAAAAAAUUUUUUUCCUAGUUAAUUAUACUAUGAAAAAUAUAGAGUAAAAUAAAAUAUAAUUAAAAUUAGUUAAAAAAUUAUAUUUUUAUAAAAUUAUUUGACUUUUUUAUAAAAAUUUAAAAUAAGUGACAUGAGUUUGAAAUAGUAUAUAUAUUGACUUUAAUUCUUUCAAAUUAAUCACUAGGUUGUUAGAGACAUACACCUAUGAUCCAAAGGUUUUCCCAACAAAGAUAUCAAUAAAUCUUUCUACUCCAUUGAUUGCAUCUUGAAUUCUUUCAAAUUAAUCACUUCAUUGUAAUCAUUAUUCACUUCAUUGUGAUUUGUCAGACAACAAUUCAUUUCUGCUUCAUGGUUGGACCUUGAGGUAAGGCUUUAGAGGCAUAAGCCUCAAAAGCCUCUUAAAAUUGGUUCUACACUUCUUGCAUGAUGAAUGCAAGUUCCAAAUUUUGAUGACUUGGUAAUGUUGGAGUAAUUGGGUUGAAAGCAGUCAAACACAAAUAUUUAUUAAAGAAGAUAAAAAUUUGGAAGAAUUAAAAUUUUAUUGUAUUCUACCACUCUUUUUUUUAUUCAAAUAUUACAUAAUCCUUUAUUAACUAAAAAUGACAUAAUUAAAAGUAAAUUAUCAUUUGAUUGCAAUGGAUUUAAUAGAAUAUGGUGGAUAUGCUAAAUUUUUGUCUGAUAAUAAAAUUUGAUUUGAGUGAAUAUAAUUAGAGUAAAAUAGUCUUUUUAACUAUCACUUUUACAAUAAAAAGUGUUUUAUUUAAACAAAUAUUUAAUAAAAUUUUAAAAACAUUUGAUAAAUAAUUAUUAUAAAAACUCUUCCUCGAAAAUACUUCAAAGUUCGUCGGAUGGUAAAUUAUACAUCAAGAUCUUAAUGAUGGUCCAUGCAACCAUCACCAUUGAUUGUUUUUGAAAACACAACUUCAAUUUAAAUAAUAUUUUAAGGUAACUCCUAGUUAUCAUAUUUUACAAGAUAUUUUUUAAAAUUAUUGUUUUUUUUCUUUCAAAAUCCUAAGAGAGAGGUCACCAAUAUCAAAAUAAUGUGACCCAUCUCUAUACUAUUGUCUCCAUUAUUUGGACUAUAUCAUAGUUUCCUUAUUGACAACAUGGUAGCCAUGUUAAAUACCUACAACUUUGAAAACAAGAUCUCAAAACUAUGCCUAUUUGAUUAUAAGGCUUAAUUAUUAUAGUUUAUCAUUUCCUAGCAUAUAUAGUUCUUAGCAUCUAAGUAUUUGUUAUAUAAGAAUUUUUCUCAUUUUUCAAGCUUGCAUUUUGUUUAGAAAUUUUUUGAGUUUUUUACAAUCAUUUUGAAAAUGUCAACUCAUAAUUAUAUACAUUUUAGUUCUAUAAGGACUAAAAUCACUUAACAUCAUGGUAAUACUAUUUAAGGUAAUUUGCUUUGAAUCAGAAUGAACUUAUAUACAACUUACGAUUUAUGGUAAUAAUAGAGAUCGAAUUUAAAAAUACAUAAGUUUUCAAUUAAAUAUUAAUAUAUUUAUGUUUCCUUCUUAUUUUUAAUCCUAAAACACAUUAAAUGUAUGCUCUUGAAUUCCUCCAUGUAAUGCGAUUUGAUAUAAUGAUAAAUCAACAAUUAUGAUUUAAUAAUAUGGUGCUUUGACUUUUGACAUUUAAGUAACACCGUCAAUAAAAGCUCCAUAUCUUUGCUUCAUGGAAGAACGUACAAAUGAUGUGAUUGAAUUACAUUUCAAUUAUGUUUGAUUCUUUGAAAAUACUCAAGAAAAAUAAAUAUUUAAAAAAAUAAUUUUCUCAUAUUUGAUUUUACUAUAAAAAAAAUACAUAAUUAAAAUUAGUAAUAAAUUUAAAUAAUUUUAAAUUACUUAAUCUUUAUAUAAAAAAGUUAAAUUAGUAAAACGAGUUUAAAACAUGAUAUAAAGGUAAUUUAUUGACUUUAAUUUUUUUUUUUUACUUCACUUUUUCUUUCCUUCUCUUUGAUGAGAUCAUCUUAGAUAAAUUGUUAAUUGAUUGCAGCAUAUUCAAUUGAAUUCGAUAGUCUAGGUAUCAUAAAUCAUACAUGUUGUGCACCAUUUACAGUAAAUGAACCGUCACAAACCAUACAUAGAGGAGAUGUUGAUUUCAUUAUAAAUCAUACGAUAAUUACAAAAGAUAUGAUAUUAACUUGCAGUAAAUUGCAACAUCGGCACUCUAAUGCUAGACAAAGUAACUAGACAAAGUAAGUCUAAUUAUUGCUAACUUUCCUCAUCUUUCUUGGGCCUUUUGGGUGCUUUUUGUGCAAAAGAGAAAAAGCUAUAACUAAAUUGCCAAUCCAUCACCGACGUUAUAGACUGAUGAAGAAUACCAAAGGGAGUGUUACGAAAUAAUGAGAAUAAAUAAUAAGAAAAAUAGAAUAAGAACACAUAGAUAUACGUGAAAAACUUUAGAUGGGAAAAAUCAUGAGAAAACGAGAAAAAGAUCCGUUAUGUCAAAAAUUGGUACAAAAUGGGAGAGUUGAAAGCGACUACAACAAAAGUAUAAUCAUCGUAACCCUAAAACUAUACAUCAUUAUUAUAUAUAUAUAUAUAUGUAUAUAUAUAUAUAUGCGAGAGUUGAGAACAACUAUGGGAUGAGGUCUAUCGACUCGAUCCCUUCACUACCCCCACAAAUCUCUCAAAAAAUCUCAUAAUUUUAACUUUACUACAUAUAUUGCAUCGCGAGCUUUUCGAAUUGAAUAAAAAAGAAUUUGGAAUCAUCAAACAGUAACAAAGGGAGUGAGAUCAUAACUUUGGAAGGAUUUUUUUUUUUUUUAAAUGUAGACUUGAAUGGUAAAUACUAAAAUGUGUUUGAGAGUGAUACUUGAAAGUAUUUUUAAUAUUUUUAAUAUUCGAAAAAUAAAAAAUUUUCAAAUAUUAAAAAUAUUUCCUAAAAUCAAUAUCAAAAACCAUUUUACAAAAUCAGUAUCAAACUAUCAAACAUAAUUUGAAUUUAAAUAGAGACAAGAACAACAUUGACUCUUGACUCACCAAACCAGUCCUAGUUCACUUAUUGAAUGAAAAGAAAAUAAUUAAAAAUAAAUAACAGCAUCCAUUCUACCAUGUUAUGAAGAGUAAAAGACAAUGGAGAUUUUAACUUUGUUGCCUUAAAAGUCAUGCCCCCUUUCAUGAGUAUAUAUAAUAAAAUAUAUUCGUUUGCAUCUCUUGAAUGCAAAUAAUUUGAUAAUUUUUUUAUAAUUAAUUUAUGAAGAUAACAAUUUGAUAAUUAGACAAUUAUGUUGAUAUUUUGACAUUAUUAUCAAUUUACCAAAUAAGAUUGUUUUUCACCCAACAAUAAUUUACUUAGAAUAAUAAAUAAAUUAAAUUAGCUAACGUAACCAAAGCAUUUGAUUAAAAAUUGGUUUUCAUUUACAAAGAUAAGUUGAAAAUUAAUUUUAAUUUGAUUUAAUUAGGAAAUUAAUUUUUUGCUUGUUAAGUUUGUUUUAAUUUGUAAAUUCAUGUAAAUAAAAAAAAGGAUAAAAAGAUAAUUUUCAUGUGAAAAUUCAUUUAAUUUGAAAAUAAAUGAUGUAAUGUGUUUCAUUGUCGGUUAGCAUUUUUCUUUUUUUCUUGUUUGUAUAACUUUUUAAAAUGUAAAAGAUAAUAAUAAAAUAAGAAAUAAUCAAUAAAUUAAAAAAAUAAAAUAAAUGAUCUCACUAAAAAUGUUUUUUUACCUUAUGUCAUAUGACUUGGAUUAUUUUUUUUCUCUUUUCAGUAAAACAAACUUUUAAUAUAAAUAAAAAAAUAAAAUAGGACAUAGAGGAAAAUAGCUAAAGAGUAUAAAAAAAAUUCAAAAUAAUGCACUAAAAAUGGAAAGAGAAUAUGGUGAGUAGUUGAAUAAUAAUAAAUAAAAAAAAGUCAAAAAAGCUUCAAUACUCUUUGAAUCCACUGUUAGUGAAUGCCAAAAGGCAUACAUCAUACACGCAACUAGAAAUAAAAUGGUAAAAUAUAAAGAAAAGAGUCAGAAAAAGCACGAAGACUACAAUUAAUAAUCGUGGCAGGACUUCGACUCUCGUGAACCCCCCACUGUCACUCAAUGCUAUAGGGUUACAGGCUUGGAGCCAAUCAAAGAUAAUUGAGACAGAAGAACCAGACAUCCUCAACACCAUCGUCUCAGACUCUCAGCAUUCAAAGACCCCUUUGUAUUUUCUUCUUCCAAAUUCUGUUCUUGUAAUUUUGUUACAAUCCAACCAUGGCUUCCACUAGCAAUCCCAAGAGACCCUCUUCUUCUUCUAAUUCUAAAUGGAGGUACGAUGUGGUCUUGAGUUUCAGAGGCGAGGAUACCCGCAACAACUUUACUAGUCAUCUCUACAAGGCUUUGGAUCAUGCCAACAUUGAAACCUUUAUAGAUGAUGAAGGACUUCCAAGGGGAGAAGAGAUUGCGCCCGAGCUCCUAAAAGCUAUUGAAGGAUCAAGGAUUGCCCUUAUUGUCUUCUCGAAAACCUAUGCUCAUUCCAAGUGGUGCUUGGAUGAACUCGUCAAGAUCAUGGAGUGCGAGAAAGAAAAGGGACAACAGGUUUUUCCUAUUUUCUAUCAUGUAGAGCCGUCUGAAGUCAGGAACCAGACUGGGAUUUAUGGAGAAGCAUUUAACAAUCACGAAAGAAAUGCAGACGAGGAGAAGAAGAAGAAGAAGAUAGAGCAGUGGCGGACUGCCUUAAGGAAAGCUGGUAAUUUGAGUGGAUUUCCUCUGCAGGAUAGGUAAUCCCUACUUCACUUUUUCCAUUCCCAAUUUUCUGUCAGUUUAUUUUCAUUCUUGUUAAUAAAUAAAAUAUUUAUGAUUACAUUUAUCAAUCAAAAUCCAUUUUUAAGUAGUAGACAUUAAUAUGUUCGAUUUCUUGGAAAGUAAUAAGAAAGAGUAAAAAAAAAAAAAAAAAAGAUUUUCUCACAUUUAAUUUAUUAUUAAAAUUAUAAAAGGAAAUCAAAUAUAAUUAAAAUAUAUCAGAAAAAAUUAUAUUUGCCCAGCAGGUGGAAAUGCCAAGUUUUGAAUUGUUAAAAAUCUUUAAGAUUCCAAAAUAUUCUUCCUUUCUAAUCGAUCCAUCUUAGCCAUAAUUUCUAUCAGUUAAAAAAAAUGGUAGUCUGUCAAAUAAAUUGUUAAAAUUGGUUAUUUAUAUGCCUUGUAAAUUUGGAGAUAAUCUGAGAUGAUUAUUUAAAAUAUUGUAAUACUACCCUAAAUUUUUUUGGACCCUCUUAUGGGACAAAAAACUUAGUUAUUGCACCCUUAACCUUUUUCAAUUUUAGAGGAAUUUUCCAUUACUUAAAUAAUUUUCUCUUCUUCUCUGUGCACUACAUGAGUUUACAUUUCUUCUUUACUUAAUAUUGUUUGUUCCUCUAUAUUUGCAAGUUGAUUAUUAAAUUUAUUUACCUUUUAAUCUAAUGUUUGUAUCUCGUUUUAUUCUAAUUAUCCCAUGACUCUUCUUAAGACCUUGUCUUUCACGUUGAAUCAUCUAAUGCUAAACUUAUUCCCUUACUAUUCUACUUUGUGUACUCAUGGGAUUAAUGUAUUGCAAUCAAAAUUAUUUUUUUUAAUCUCUUUUUCUCUUGUAUGUUCUACAUUCCUCUAUACCUCACAAAUAAAAGCAAGUAACCUUACAGCUUGUUUGACAAUAUAUUUGCAACUAAUGUUCAAAAAAUAGUUUUCCCCAACACAAUGUUGAAAAUAAUGAACAAAAUUUUAUUUGAAAAUUCAAAUAUGAAGAACGACUUUCUCGACUUAUUAACUAUGAAGGUGCUAUAAAUUUUUGUACAACAUAACAAUUCUCUAAGUAUUAUCUAUAUUUUCAAUUCUUUAUCACAAUACUCUAUAAGAAAAUACCUAAAAACAUUUCAAAUAUGCUCUUAAAAAUGAACUUGUUUACCAAACAAAUUUUUGAAAAUUAUUUUUAAUAAAAGAAAAAAUUAAAAAUAUAAUCAAGUGACAUGAAAUAUGGGAUGAAAAAUAAUAAGUUCUGUAUAUUAGAUUGACUAUACACACAGUUUAUAUUGGAUAUUACAAGAGAAGAAAUAAGAAACAAGAGACAUAAUAGAAAACUAACUUAUUCAUAAACUAACUUAUUCCUAAAUCAUAAAACUAUCUAUUUACAAAAAUAAAAAACUAAUAUAAUAUGAAAAUAAUUCUCCUAUUCUAUUUACAGCUCAAUUACAACCUAUUUACAGCUCAACACUCCCCCUCAAGCUAAGGAAUAGAUGUCUUCCAUUCCAAGCUUGAAUACAAGAUCGUGAAACAUUGAACUGUUCAGCCCUUUUGUUAGGAUAUCAACUAAUUGAUGUUUUGAUGGAACAUAGGACAUACACACUACUCCUUCCUCCAAUUUUUCUUUGAUAAAAUGCCUAUUAAUCUCAAUAUGUUUUGUCCUAUUGUGUUGUAUAGGGUUAUGAGCAAUAUUGAUAGCUGACUUGUUGUCACAAUAGAGCUUCAUAUGACCAUCCCACUUGAUUCUCAAAUCAUCUAGAAUAAUCUUCAGUCAAAGUAGUUCAUACAACCCUUGAGCAAUGUCCCUAAACUCUGAUUUUGCAGACGACCUUGCUACCACAUUCUGCUUUUUACUUUUCCAUGUUACCAGAUUACCUCGAGGAAAAGUACAAUACCCUAUAGUUGAUCUUCGAUCCACUAGGGAACCUGCAUAGUCAACGUCAGUAUAUGCUUCUAGAGUAAGAGUAUUGUUCUUUUUGAACAAAAUUCCUUUCCCGGGGUUGCCUUUCAAGUAAUGCAGCACCCUGUAAGCAACUUGAAGAUGAGGUUCUCUUGGAUCAUGCAUGAAUUGACUGAUCACGCUCACCGAGUAGGCGAUGUCUGGCAAGUGUGAGCAAGGUAUAUGAGCCUACCAACUAGCCUUUGGUACAUUCUUUUAUCCACCACUGGUUCUUCUUUAGCUUCUCCCAACUUGUGAUUUGGAUCCAUUGGGGUAGAGACUAGUUUACACCCAAUCUUCCUUGUUUCUGUCAAUAAAUUAGUCACAUACUUUUGUUGAUAGAUGAAGAUCUCUUGUGUGGAAUAUGCCACCUCAAUAUUGAGGAAGUGCUUUACUUUCCCUAGUUCCUUUAUCUCAAACUCUGUUGCUAAUCUUUGCUUCACUUCAUGCUUUUCUCUCUCAUCAUUUCCAGUCAUUAUGAUGUCGUCAACAUAGACUAGAAAAGCAAUUACUCCCCCUGUAGCCGAGUGCUUAAUGAAGAGAGUGUGGUCACCUUGGCUUUGCUUGUACCCAUACUCUUUCAUGACUUUUUCAAAUCUCUCAAACCAAGCCCUAGGAGAUUGUUUUAGCCUAUAAAGGGCCUUUUUCAGCCUACACACCUUGUUACCUAUGUUUCCCUCAAAUCUUGGUGGGAUGUUCAUGUAAAUCUCUUCAUCUAAAUCACCAUGAAGAAAUGCAUUCUUAACAUCAUACUAUAGGAGUUGCCAAUUGUAGUGGGUAGCCAAGGACAGUAGGAUUCUUAUAGUAUUCAUUUUUGCAACUGGAGCAAAAGCCUCCUGAUAAUCAACUCCAUAAGUUUGAGUGUACCAUUUGGCUACCAAUCUUGCUUUAUGUCUCUCAAGAGAUCCAUCAGUCUUAUAUUUCAGCGUGAAAAUCCACUUGCAAUUAACAAUGUUUUUCCCUUUCGUCUUUCAACAAUCUCCCAUGUUUUAUUAUUUUCUAAUGCAUUCAUCUCCUCUCUCAUAGCAUCCUUCCAUUCCCUUUUUGUCAAUACCUCAGAAACAGUGUUAGAGAUGAUAGUGGUGUUUAAACUCACAAUGAAAUUCUUGUGGGCUAGUGAUAGGUGCUUAAGAGACACAUAGUGUGAUAGUGGAUAGAGUGGUUAAUUAGUGCAUUAUCCGGUGCCUUUUCUGACAGCAAUGAGAAGGUCUAGGUCUAGGUUGUCUGUUGAGUCAAUGGAAGUUUCACCAAGUUGUGUAUGUAAAGGUGGGUCUAAUCUUACCGUGAUUUCAUUCCUAGGAUUUGAGUUGGAUUCUUGGACCUGCUAUUGUUCUGGAAUGACCUUUUCCCUUUAAUACAUCUUAGGAAACUGUGGAAAAUUACAAGUGACACUGGUUGGAAUAGGGAAUGACACGGGUUUAGUGGUAAAAUUGGGUGACUCAGGUGUGAUUAGUUCGGAUGACUCAAGUUCUUCAUCACCAUGGGUUGAGACAUGAGGAAGGUUAAGAGGUUCAAAGGAGUCACAAGGACUAUCCUCCAUCAUUGAAAUCUCCCCCUAAAUAGAGGACUUGGGAAAAAAGGUUUAUUUUCUGUGAAGGUGACAACUGCAGAGAUGUAAAAUUUUCUGGCUAAGGGAUUGUAACACUUGUAUCCUUUUUGAGUAGAUGAGUAAACCAAGGAAGACACAUUUUAUGGCUCGGGGGUCUAGCUUGUCUCUAUGAUGGUUGUGGACAUGAACAAAUGCAAUGCAUCAAAAUACACUAGGAGUGAGCCCAUAUGAGGUUCUAAAGUGUGGAUAGAAACUCUUAAGUAUCUCUACGGGGCUUUUGUUGUCUAACACUUGUGAGAGAAUUCUAUUUAUCAUGUAUGUGGCAGUAAGAACAGCUUCCCCCCAAUAGGACUUAGGAACAUUCCCUUGAAAGAGUAAGGCUCGGGUUGUGUUGAGUAAAUGCCCAUUUUUUCUCUCGGGUAUCCCAUUUUGUUGGGGUGUGUUAACACAUGAUGAGUCAUGGAGAAUGCCCUGUGAUUGAAAAUUGGGUGACAAAGUAUGGUUAAAGUAAUCUCUAGCAUUGUCUGUCUUAAAACUUUUUAUUUUAACCCCAAAUUGGUUUUGAACCAUUGAGUGGAAAUUAGGUAUAACAAUGCUAACAUCAGAUUUUUGUUUAAGAAGAAAGAUCCAUGUAAUCUGAGUGCAGUCAUCAAUUAAGGAUACAAACCAACGAGCCCCAUAAACAUUAGGUAUAGUCGAAGGACCCCAUAUGUCACUAAGAAUCAAAUGAAAAGGAUGAGAACUUCUUUUAUUGCUAAUAGGAAAAAAUUCACGAGUAUGUUUUGUCAAUUCACAAGUUUUGUAAUGAAACUUAGAAAUAUCUAAUCCUUGAAACAAAUGAGGAAACAUGACCUUUAAAACCCUAAAAGAUGGAUGACCUAGACGUAGGUGAUACAACCAAAUGGUAUCUUUAUUUAAGGAACUCUAAAAAGACACACAAAUUAUUACUAGUUUUCUGAGAUGAUUCAAGGUGAUAAAGACCGCUCAUUUCCUUAGCAAGUCCAAUCCUCCUUCCCGAGCCUUGUUCCUGAAAAACACAAUAAGAAUGGAAAAAAAUAGCAGAACAUUUAAGAUCAUGGGUAAGCUUUUGAAUGGAAACAAGGUUGGCCGACAAUUUUGGUACAUGGAGGACAUUUUUAAGAAUAAGGGUAGGUGUGAUAUAUAUGUCUCUGAAACCUGCAACGGUAACUAAAAAGCCAUUGGCCAUUGCAAUUUUCUUGUUACUUGGGUUUGAGGUAUAGGUAUGGAAAAGUUGAGAUUUGGAGGUCAUAUGGUCUGUGGCACCGAAGUCUAUUAUCCAAUAGUCAUUAUAAACCUUGUGUGAGGCAUUUAUGCAAAAUGAGAGUGAAGGUGUACCUGAAUUUUCCAACAUCUUCCACGAAAAAAAAAACCUGAUCUCUUGGGAAUUAAGGUAGAUCGCGAAACAAAAAAACCAGCAACAAUGAAGGUUGGUAAAAGAACACGUGAAUAAAAAAAAUCUAACUAUGAAGGCCAGAAAAAUGGCGAUGAAGGCCAGAAUGAUGCCCAGGUCUUAAAAACCUACUGCUCUGAUACCAUGACACGAAAUGUGGGAUGAAAAAUAAUAAGUUUUGUAUAUUAGAUUGACUAUAUACAUAGUUUAUAUUGGAUAUUAUAAGAGAAGAAAUAGGAAACAAGAGACAUAAUAGGAAACUAACUUAUUCCUAAAUCAUAAAACUAUCUAUUUACAAAAAUAGGAAACUAACAUAAUAGGAAAAUAAUUCUCCUAUUCUAUUUACAGCUCAAUUACAACCUAUUUAUAGCUCAACAUUAAGUUAUAAAACUAUUUUAUAUUCUAAAGAAAAAAAAAAUCUAUUUUCAAAAACAAUAUCUAUAUAAGCAUUUUUCUUUUAAGUAUGAUUUUAAAAUGUUUUUCCAUGAGUCUAAUUGUUGCUAGGAUUUUGACCAAUAAACAAAUAUGUGUGACUUUCCUCGUCAUUGUAAUUUAUAUUUGGGAAAAAAAUGGGGAUUUCAUCAAAAUAUGAAACUUAUGUAACAAUUAUUAGCAACCUAAAUAUAAAUAAAACUAAAACGGAGAAUUUACUUGUUUAUGGAAUAAAUAGUUGAAAAUUUUAUAAGCAUUGAGGAUGGUCAUAAAUCAUGUUGUAAUUAAUAAAAGCAUUUCUAGGUUAUGGAACUUGGGUGGCAAAUUGGUAGAUUUCUAGCCAAACUAGUAUUUGUCUCUAUAAUAAAAUCUCUUAUCAUAAAGGGUAAUGAUACUUUAGAAAGGUCAACUUCAAAUUGGGCCUUUAGAAGCAAUUAAGAUAUUUACAUUAUUUUAUUGCAUGUAUACUUGACAUGACAUAAUGAAAUUUUAUUUAAACAUGCAAUUCAACACAUUUUUAAUUUACAUUCUAUUUGACCUUAAUUUAAUGGCACCGAACGAAACUAAGAAUCAUUCUAUAAUUUCCAUUUACUUCAUCUUUGUUUUCUUUGACAAUUGAUUGUAGCUCACUGCAUGUUUUAUUGUACUUUAUAAUGGACAGAUUUGAGUCAGAGUUUAUUCAAGAAAUCAUUGGUGAGAUUCGAAGAUUAACUCCUAAGUUGGUACAUGUUGGUGAGAACAUAGUUGGAAUGGAUGAAAAUUUGAAAGAGGUGGAGUUAUUGAUAAACGCCCAAUCAAAUGGAGUGAGCAUGGUUGGGAUUUAUGGGAUUGGUGGGAUUGGUAAAACUACCAUUGCCAAGGUUGUUUACAAUGAUAUGUUAGAUCAAUUUCAACGUCACAGCUUUCUUGAAAAUGUGAGGGAGAAAUCUAAAGAUGAUCAUGGUUUGCUUGAAUUACAAAAAAAACUUCUUUGUGAUAUCCUAAUGGAGAAAAAUCUGAAGUUAAGAAAUAUUAAUGACGGUAUCAAAAUGGUAAAGAGGAAGUGUCGCAUUGAAAAGGUUCUCAUUGUUCUUGAUGAUGUAGAUUGUCAAAAACAAUUAAAAUUCUUAGCUCCUAAUUCUGAAUGUUUUCAUCAAGGAAGCAUAAUCAUCGUGACCACGAGAAAUAAACGUUGCCUAGAUGUACAUAAGUCAUAUUCAUCAUAUGAGGCUAAGGGAUUAGCACACACGCAAGCUAAGGAACUCUUUUGUUGGAAUGCCUUUCAGCAAGACCAUCCCGAGUAUGAGGACCUCUCUAAUUGUAUACUAGAUUAUGCUAAAGGCCUUCCAUUGGCUCUUGUAGUUUUGGGUUCUUUUCUCUAUCAAAGGGAUGUGGAUUACUGGGAAAGCACACUGCAUAAACUAAAAACAAACCCUCUUGAGGAUAUUCAAAAGGUACUCCAGAUAAGUUAUGAUGGACUAGAUAAUAAAUGGAAGGAGUUGUUUCUUGAUAUUGCAUGUUUCUUCAGAAAUGAGGAUAAAAAAGUUGUUACAAGAAUACUAGAAGGUUGCAAAUUCCAUCCUAAGUCUGGACUAACGGUUCUUCAUGAGAGGUGUCUUAUUUCUAUAACAGACGACACCAUAAGGAUGCAUGACUUGUUACAAGAAAUGGGUUGGGCAAUUGUUCGCCAAAAUUUUCCAGAACAUCCUGAAGAAUGGAGCAGAUUGUGGGAAUUACAGGAUAUUAAAAGUGUUUUACCACAAAAUAAGGUAGGAGAAAAAUACAUGAACUUACUUGAGAUCUAAAGACAUAUAAAAGAUUCAACAAGAAUUAUUUUUAUUAUUAUUAUAGUUUUGAGUAUCUUAUCUAUAUAAUUUUAGUGAAUCCCUAUGCAUCUUAUAUUGCUUAUUCUCAAUGCUUGUUUUCAGGGGACAAAAAACAUAGAGGGGAUAUCCAUAAAUCGGUCUUGGGAUAGUAAAAAACGUAUACAACUUACUGCUGAAGCUUUCAGAAAGAUGAAUCGACUUAGAUUGCUCAAAGUUAAAGGCGAUAUGGUGCAGCUUUCCUAAGACUUUGAAUUGCCUUGUCAUGAUUUAGUAUAUUUUCAUUGGGAUAACUACCCUUUGGAAUAUUUGCCAUCAAAUUUUCAUGUAGAAAAUCCUGUUGAACUUAACCUCUGGUACAGCAACAUAGAACAUCUUUGGGAAGGAAACAUGGUAUUGCUAUUAUUUAGUUAUAUUUUUGCUCUAGACUAAUUUUAAAGUCUUUUGAAGUUUACUUAUUGAAACGAAUUUUCUUCUGUUACAGCCUGCUAAAAAGUUAAAAGUCACUGAUCUUAGUUAUUCCAGGCAUCUGGUUGACAUUUCAAACAUCUCAAGUAUGCAAAAUUUGGAGACUCUAAUUCUAAAAGGUUGUACAAGGUUACUUAAGUGUUUCACCCAUGCUUAAUGUUAUUAUUAGUCAUGAACUAACUGUUUUCUUGAAUAUAAUAGGAUGCAAGAGACUUGAGAGUCUUCCAAGGAACUUUCAUAAGCUGGAAUGCCUUCAAACACUCUCUUGUGAUGGCUGUUCAAACUUAAAAGUUUUCCGAAGAUCAAGGAAGAAAUGAGAAGUCUAAGAAAGCUUAAUUUAAGUCAUACAAGUAUAAUGGAAUUAACAUCAUCAAUUAGGCAUCUAAAUGGGCUUGAAGAGUUGGACUUAAGUAAUUGCAAAAACCUUUUGAGUCUUCCGGACAGUAUUGGUAGUUUGAACUCUCUUCAAACUCUCGAUCUAGUUGAGUGUUCAAAACUAGUGGGUUUUACAAAUAUCAAUAUUGGAAGUCUAAAAGCUCUUGAAUAUUUGGAUUUGUCAUGGUGUGAGAACCUUGAGAGUCUUCCAAAUAGUAUUGGUAGUUUGAGCUCUCUUCAAACUCUUUUAUUGAUAGGGUGUUCAAAAUUGAAGGGCUUUCCAGAUAUCAAUUUUGGAAGUCUAAAAGCUCUUGAAUUGUUAGAUUUCUCACACUGCAGAAACCUUGAGAGUCUUCCUGUGAGCAUUUACAAUUUGAGCUCUCUCAAAACUUUGGGGAUUACAAAUUGUCCAAAACUCGAGGAAAUGUUAGAGAUUAAAUUAGGGGUUGAUUGGCCAUUUUCACCUCUAACCUGUCACAUUUCAAAUUCAGCAAUAACCUGGUAUGAUGACUGGCAUGACUGCUUUUCCUCAUUAGAAGCAUUAAACCCACAGUGCCCCCUGUCAUCACUGGUAGAAUUAUCUGUAAGAAAGUUUUAUGGCAUGGAAGAAGACAUCCUCAGUGGCAGUUUCCACCUAUCCUCAUUGCAAAUAUUAUCUCUAGGGAACUUCCCUAGCGUGGCAGAAGGAAUCCUCGAUAAGAUUUUCCAUCUAUCCUCGUUGGUAAAAUUAUCUCUUACUAAAUGCAAGCCAACGGAAGAAGGAAUCCCUGGUGAUAUUUGGAACCUAUCUCCACUGCAACAAUUAUCUCUACGUGACUGCAAUCUAAUGGAAGGAAAGAUCCUCAAUCAUAUUUGCCAUCUAACAUCCUUGGAAGAAUUAUAUCUGGGUUGGAACCAUUUUAGUAGCAUACCUGCUGGCAUCAGUCGACUUUCUAAUCUAAAGGCCCUUGACUUGAGUCAUUGCAAGAACCUUCAACAAAUUCCAGAGCUUCCAUCAAGUCUACGAUUUUUAGAUGCGCACUGUUCGGAUGGUAUUUCAUCAAGCCCCUCGCUUCUACCUAUUCAUUCUAUGGUCAAUUGCUUCAAAUCAGAAAUUGAGGUAUGAUUCUCAUGCCACGUUCCUCUUUCUUUUGUACCCAUUGAAUUUACAUGGUGCUUUUGUGCAGGACCGCAAGGUUAUUAAUCAUUAUUCUUACUUCUGGGGCAAUGGAAUUGGUAUUGUUAUUCCUAGAAGUAGUGGAAUUCUAGAGUGGAUAACAUAUCGGAAUAUGGGAAGGAAUGAAGUAACAGUAGAGCUCCCUCCGAAUUGGUAUAAAAAUGAUGACUUGUGGGGAUUUGCUUUAUGCUGUGUUUAUGUUGCACCUGCCUAUGAAUCUCAGUAUGAAUUAGGUCAUAUAUCUAAGGAUGACGCUGAACUUGAAGAUGAAGGACCAGGGUUCUGUUGUGAUUUGAGUAUCGAAGGAAAUAAUCAAUCAGGAGACGUGGGUUUUUUCCUUCUUUAUUCUUGCUGUGUUAAAUAUGAUGUGUCAGAUAUGCAGUGGGUGAUAUGUUAUCCCAAGUUAGCUAUUGAGGAAAGUUAUCACACCAAUCAAUGGACACACUUCAAGGCUUCAUUUGGUGGUGCCCAAGUGGAAGAGUGCGGAAUCCGUCUUGUAUACACAGAAGAUUAUGAACAGAAGCAUCCAGCAAUGGCACAAGGCAGUACUUCUCAUGGGAAUUUUGGUGAGCAUGGAUCGGUAAGAGAAGAUACUGAUAGUAAGCUCACAAUAAAAGGAAUCCCACAGAACAGAGCCCAAGAGAGGAGUCACACCAUAAAAGAUCCAUAGAAACCCAAGACUGAUCCCAAGUAUUAGGCUCAACCACACUUGCAUCACUAAUGCUAUCUUUACUGGUAAUUCAUCUUCCUUUCUCUUUCUAAUUCAAAGGUCAGAAUUUUUUUUUAUCGUGUUUCUCCUUUUUAUUUGUCUUUUUCCCCAAGACAAACAAAACUUUGAGGCUAUCACCCAUGGGCGCAAACUUCAAUGGUACACCUCCCAAGUUUGUUUUUCUCUCUCUCCAACCGUCUUUCCCUAGAUUUUUCUGCAUUUUCUUCAAACCCAUAUUUCCAUAUGAAAUUCAAUUACAUUCGAGCAUUUCAAUCUCUGUAGCUACUGUCUGAAUCAUUUAUAGGGUUUCUUUUUUCUGGAAGUUUGUAAUGUUAUUGAUUUAAGACUUCAUGUUUGGGGAUGUUUUGGGUGGCUUGUUCACUGGUAUUAAUUGUGAUAAUUGCAGCUCUGGUGCUUUCAAUGACUUUGACAAUAGUCGAAACUAUGUUGAAUGCUUGUACCAAGGGAAUGGACUUCAGUUGCUCUAGGGUUAGUGCUAUAACAUCAGUAUUCACUCUUCAAGAAUGUAUAUAGUUGUUGUUUUGGAAUUUUGAAAUUACUUAGCAUCAGACAAUUUCUAACUCGGGAUUUGGAUUGGGAACCAUAAGUUAUCAUUAGAGAGUGUAUGAGAAGGAAUUUUAGAGUGAGAUGGGUGAUGCAUGUUGAGGGAUGAAAGAGGGAUGUAUCUCACCCUAGAGUUCUUUGGAAUAAUUAUAGGAUUUUGUAAGUAACUUUGGACUUACUUGCAAUGUUCUGGAUUUGUGAAUAAUUUAUAGAAUGCAUUGGGUUUUUUUUUUUUGUUUUUUUUUUUGGUCCAUAAGAAACUAAAAGAACUUUGAGAGUGAAUAAUGUAUGACUGUACUCUUCUCUAUCUCUCUGGUCAUAGCACACGUAUGAUUUGGUACUUUUUUGCAGGCUUCAACAGCAGCAAAGCAUCUGGUGGCUUGCAGUACUAAUCUUACAUUAUAUUCUCUGUUUUGCAAUCAUUUGGUACUUUUUGUCCCAACCAAGGAUAGCUCUGUGCAACAGUCUCGACUGUGGAACAAGUAAAACAAAUGGUACCUGCUGAAGCUGAGAGGGCAGAUAAUAAAUUGGUGCGGAAGGUGGUCAACCAAAAGAAUCAGACAGCAAAAACUAAAAAAGCCGAUGAAGCCUGCUACUGAAGCAGUCUCAGCACCUGUUUCUAGGAGGGGUGAGAUUGAAGUGACUGAAGAAAAGGAGCGUGAGCAAACAAAGAAGGAAGAGGAGUUGGCCAGGAAGGUAGAGGAAUUGAGAAGUGAAGAGGAAGCAGCCAUGUUGAAGGAGAAAAGUCUGUUGGAGGAGAAAGCCAACGUUAAGAAGGCAUUGGAAAGGAAACAAGGAACUGCAGAAAAGGCCAAUUUCUCUGUGAGUGCUGCCACCUUUUCGUGAUACAGCCAUAAUAAUGGAUGUUAAAAGCAGUCUAACUCUACAUGGCGUUUAUUUUCCCCAGCCAUAGAUUGGAAUCUGCCAGUCUGACUCUCAUAAGAAAGAAAAUUUUCCAUCGAUCCUCGUAUGGAUUAUUGGAGAAGAUUUUAACAUGGAGUUCACAAGAGAGUUUCUAACACCCACUUAAAAGGACAUUUUAGAAAACUUAUUGAAAAAUAACAUGAGAGUACAUAAAUUUUUAGAUAUUUUUAAAAAUAUUUGAAAAUUUAAAUUAACUAAAAGUAUUUGAAAAAUAUUUGAUUGAAUUAACAAAUAUCAAGUAUUUGCAUAUGAAAAAAUAAUAAACAUUGUGAAGAAUUUUUUUAUUAAUUAGUGCAUAAUAAUUUUAUUUUCCUUUUAAUCACAAAUUAAUCUAUGGCAAAAUCUCAUAUUUGUUGUAGGGACAAUGUUGUCUUACAUUUUUCUUUCAUGAUGGACUCAAAUUUUAAUUUAAAUGUAGUAUAAAUAUAUAAUUAGAUUGAAAUUUCGUCCACUAAGAUUGAUUGGGUAUGAAUUUGAACCCUCGUUCGGGUCAUACUUCCAUCCAAUCCAAGCUUGUGGUUGGGCUUGAAUUUCUUGGCCCAACCAGUAAUGUCAUUGACCAAUAGCCCUUAGUUUGGGCUGGGCUUGAUGGUCCUCAGGCUAUGCAGACUUAAUACUCAUUGGGUUUGGGAUUCCAUGUAGUUGUAAUUAGAUUCUAUGUUUCCUAAUAUUAACACUAAAUUAGGUUUAAUUUAUAAUUAAAUAUAAUUAGAAGAGGAAAAUGAAAUAUCAUAUCCUUGCAAUGAGUUAUGUGGAUAUUUCAUUUAAAAAGUCUAAUGUGAAAGGUUGUUAUGGGUAGUCGUUUUUUGAUGCAAAUUUUCUAUGGAGUCCUAAUCUUAGAAGGCAAUAGAAAAUUCACAACCAAGAUUUCUUAAAAAUAACUACAUUAAAGUGUAAACAAAAUAUCAAACUAGAAUUUCUUAGAAAUAUCAAACUAGAAAGUGAAAUAUAAUACAAUUCAAGUAUGAAAAUGAAGGACAAAAGAAUAGACCAAAUUUGAAAGACCGUUCAAAGACUCGUUUCUUGUUACAAUCCAAUCAUGACUUCCACUAGUAGAGAUCCUCUUCUUCUUCUUCUUCUUCUAAUUCCAAAUUGAGGGACCAUGCGUUCUUGAGUACCCUCAAAAGCUUUUUUGAUCAUUUAUACUGUAUAACCUUACUUGUAAUAACUGUAUAAGAUAUUUGUGCUAAUUGAUAAGAUAUUUGUGCUAAUUGUAUAAAACAUGUCCUUAUACAUCUUGAAUUUAUAAAUUUAUGAAUUUAUGAAUAACCCAAUAAUCAAUGACUUCUUAAUAAAAUUUUUUUAAUUUUGUUGCCUUAAAAGUCAUGUCCCUCCUUUACAAAGCUUCUUAGAAAUUUCAUAUAUUUUUUUUUGUCAUCAUCUAUAUUUCAUAUUUCUUUUUCGUCUUCAAUAUUUGUGUAUAUAUCUAAAAUAAAACCUAUAAGAAAAUGAAAAAUUUACACUUAAAAAGUGUUUAUUUGAAAUUUAGGCAAUGAACUUAAAGGAGUUUGGAAUUACUCCUCGAAGUUGAUAUGUUUGUUUUAAAAUCAAAGUGGAUUUCAAUUUUCUUUAAAUCCACGUUAUGAUAUUACGGUAAUAUGUAGUGUCUUUAAAACCAUGGCUUCCUCUAGCAAUUCUAAGAGACCCUUUUACUCUUCUUCUUCUUCUAAUUCUAAAUGGAGGUACGAUGUGUUCUUGAGUUUCAGAGGCGAGGAUACCCGCAACAACUUUACUAGUCAUCUCUACAAGGCUUUGGAUCAUGCCAACAUUGAAACCUUCAAAGAUGAUAAAGAACUUCGAAGGGGAGACGAGAUUGCACCCGAGCUCCUAAAAGCUAUUGAAGGAUCAAGGAUUGCCCUUAUUAUCUUCUCGAAAACCUAUGCUCAUUCCAAGUGGUGCUUGGAUGAACUCGUCAAGAUCAUGGAGUGCAAGGAAGAAAAGGGACAAAAGGUUUUUCCUAUUUUCUAUCAUGUAGAGCCGUCUGAAGUCAGGAAACAGACUGGGAUUUAUGGAGAAGCAUUUAAC